GUGACCAGUGCCUAAGAAACAGUUUCCACGUUAGCGUUUUUAUUAUUGUUAUUUAGCCAUUUAUUAUUACCCUGGAACUCAAAAUAUGUCUCAUUUAAAUGCUCAGCAUCAUAUUCUCACUCCAGUUAGUGUUUAAUUCGCGUUGGAGACAGAAUUUAGUUGAUAGAUGUUAUCUGUUUAACGUUUGCUAACAAUGGCUAACUGUAACAGUAACGUUAUGGUUUUUCACACUCAAAUAGCCUCCAUCAUGGAGGUGUUAGCGAAUUCAGCCGUGGCAGACAUAUGCAAACUCGUAGACGACGACUAUGCAGUGUUUCGUUUGGAAAUAACUCAAAGCCAGAAAGAAAAUAGGACAUUGCGAAGGAAACUACAGCUACUGGAACUAAAGGUAGCACGGGAGCGCGCAGAGAGGACAACGCGAGAGCGCGUUCUCGCCAGUCGUCCCAGUAGUGUCAAGGUCCUCGACAGAUACAGAGGAAUGGCAAGAGGUGAAGGACAUCUCACUGGAGGCCACAGGAGCUUUGUGAAGCCAGCGGGACACAAUACAUGGAGAGAUGACCAACCCAUAGCUAUAGAUGAGGAGACUGGAACCUCAACCCAGCAUGUUAUUGUGAUAGAGUCUACAGAUGCAGAGACUGCAGGUCCUGGAGGAUCGUCUCUGGUCAAGGAGAAGAGGAUUGAAGGAGAGGAGGACCCACGACACAGCAGAGACAUCCAGACUGGAGCAGCGGCGGGAGUGGCGCCCCCUGUAGCCACGGAGGACAUCGCUACAGUGCCGCAGCCCAGGACCCAACGCUGCAUCACGGAGGAGGAGGAGGCUCCAAAGGUGCUGCUUGUCAAGGCGGAGGGGUAUGAGGAGGGUCUGGGGAACUCUGAGGGGAACAUGGUCAUGGAGGACAACCAGACUUCACCUCCUCUUGAACCCACAGAGGAACUAGCUGAGCAGCACAGGACCACACACAGUUUUACUGAGUCAGUAGACAUGGAGGAUGGGAAGACUGAUCUGCUGGUAGUCAAAGAGGAGACAAUAGAAGACGGACCAGAGAGCAUUGACCUGCUGAGUGAACUAAAGAUGGGGGAGCAAUGUAGUUGGCUGGAGGCUAACAGAGAAGACUGGGCAGCCAUCUUGGAUUCCCAGAAUCAGGCCGGUGCAGCCAGGGACCCGGGGGACAACAUCACAGAGCAGGCCAGGACCAGAGGCAACAUAGUGGAGUCUGCAGUCCACGAGGACCUGCUGAUAUCCGGUGUUGCUGGCGGGAGAGACUGGACCUCUGAGGCGGCCGGUCACAAAACUUGGCUCCGGAUCAGGACCCUGGAUCAGGAGCCGUCACUUUUCCAUUCCGAGUCAGAAACAGAACCGAACAAUGAGGGACAGAGACUCCACCACAACCACCACACAGAACACAACCAGUGGACAGGUGGACUAAACAACCUCAGUCCUGGUGGUCAUCAGAGAGACAGAGGCUCCAGUCAGGGAUCCAGUCUGCAGCCCAGACCCUUCUCUUCACAGUCUCAGUGCAGGGAUGAAGCAGGGCCUGGGGCUGACAGAGAUAGACCCUCCUGUUCCUAUGAUACAAACACCACAGUAUCCAUGAUGAACAGAGCUCACCCUGGGCUUCAGCCUUCACAGAGAUUGGUUGGAGAUCCCCCUGGUGAUAGUCUAACAGGAAGUCUGUCUUCUCCUUCAGGAUCUUGUCUAAUGCCUGGCGAAUGGGUUCACAGAGGGCCUGGACCUGGGUCUAGCCUUCCUCAAUUACCUCAUGGUUACCCCACCAAUACAGACAGGGUCAGGAUGGGCAUCCAUCACAAGAGGUACUUAGCCUAUAACACAGGACACAACAUCAACACCCAAACAACAAUGGCUAGAGGUCAAGGUGGGAGCUUAAAGACUAACCACCUGAGGGUGGUGGCUCCUGCUUCUGCCUCGUCUGGUGUCAUUGGGUCACAACGUGGGAGGCCAUGUAUUAGGACGGACGCCGACAAGCCGUACACCUGCCCCACAUGUGGGAAGCGCUUCGCUAGGGCAGACUAUUUGAGGGAGCACCAGGCCGUUCACACGAAGGACAAGCCCUUCAAGUGUAAACUAUGUUACAAGAGCUUCUCCUUCCUGACUAACCUUAUCAGACAUAGGAGUGUCCACAACCGGGAGAAAUUGUAGCAGUGUGGCUCGAGAUGUACACAGCGGAUAUCCGGGAACUAUUCCUAAAUUGACAUAUAGUUGUGAAGUGUUUUGGGGUGAAGGAGAUCUCACUGGAGGCCACAGGAGCUUUGUGAAGCCAGUGCGACACAAUCACUGUUAAUCACUGUUGUCAAGCUGGAGAGGUCAAGGACCCGACACAGCAUCACGGAGGUCAGUGGAACACUGAGCUCCGUCCUCAAGUCAGAGACAGACACCGAGACUUUAACAGGGCUGGGGCGACUGAGCUGUCCUCCUUUCCCCAUUUAAAGUAUUUACUUUAUGGUAACCUGAGCCCGAGGACUGUCCUGUCCAAUCGGGUCACAGGUGAUGCGUUACAGAGUGGCAAUGAUCAGGUCCUUUUCAUACGCUAGAGAGAUGAUACCUGGUGACGGGCCUGUGGGAUUAGAUACACAGACUAAUCCAAUGAGAUACCGUAGUAGUGUACGGUAUGAAAAAAAGUAUAUAUAUGUAGAUAUCACCUUUAUUUAACCAGGUAGGCCAGUUGAGAACAAGUCCUCAUUUACAACUGCAACCUGGCCAAGAUAAAGCAAAGCAUUACAUUUGACAUCAUUUACAUAAAGCAUUGCGACAAAAACAACACAGAAUUACACAAACAAACGUACAGUCAAUAGAAAAGAAAAAUCGAAAAAUCUAUGUACAGUGUGUGCAAAUGUAGAAGAGUAGGGAGGUAAAGCAAUAAAUAAGCCACAGAGGUGAAAUAAUUACAAUUUAACAUUAAUACUAGAGUGAUAGAUGUGCAGAUGAUGUAUACUCUGGUAUUCUCUGAAGGGUGCCUAGAUAAGAAAGGGGAUACCCUUUUUGUGUCUAUUCUUGUCUUUGAGGCUGCAUAGCUGGCAACCUACUAUCUUGAAACUCACUGACAACUUUUUUCACUUACUUUACCAGCCUGUUAUGGUUUGUGACCCUGUAUUACUCAGCACAGUGAGGGGCAAGAAGCAGGAGUGGACUGGGUCAGGCAGGAGUGGUUCUGUGCCAGGCGGCUAGUUGGUCCUGGCAGCAAGAAAGAAAGAAGAACAUGAAGAUACAUCCAACGUACUGUAUGGUGCAGUGGGAUAUACUUAAAAGGACUUCAGUUUGUGCUUAACAAUCCAAUCUAAUGUUAUUUUGUGCAUAUCCCCACAAUAUGUGAUAAGGUUUACAGAAAAAAAGUAUACCGUUUUUGUUUUAAAGUAAUCUCUUUAUGUCAUAAUUACUUAAGACUAACUAUCCUUGUUAGCUCAUUGAAUAGCAUCUGAACCUAUGUUGAAGUGUAUUUACUGCCAAUCUGGAUAUGCCUUGUUUGACACUCUUUCUGCAUAUGAAUGAGGGAGUUUGAUUAAGAUGAACCAGCGUGCACCAGGACAUGGCUCAUGAUUUGAACGGGCGAAAGCGGUGCGAGAGGAAAGCCCUGCUCAAAUAGAACCGUAAUCUGCGCCACCAGGUCAUAUUGCCAACAAGGCAGCAUGGUGCAUUGUUCAGGAACAUACAACAUACAUUUUCCAUAAAUAAAUACUUUUCUGACUGGUUUAAUAAGGCAGAUAAAGUACGUAUGCGUUUCAAACACUUUGCAUGUGUUGUAAUCAUUAUUCCACGUGCUUAGCAUACGUCACUUUGUUUUGAGAUGACUUCGCCAUGUCACCCUGUUCACGCCCAGGAGGCAGCCCGGUUUCACAACGAAUGCAAUCACUUUUCACCUGGUAAAUCUCCACCUUCCUGGGCACCUGUGCCAGCUUAAUCAAAUCCCCUCAUUGGGACUUAAAAUCGGAUCCUGGGGUCCGGCAAAAUUAAGGCAGUUAUACAAUCAUUACAAUACAUUCAUUACAGAAUUCACAACACACUAAGUGUGUGCCCUC